ACAAGCACAAUGACAUCCAAGAAUUCCAUUGUUAUUCUGGUCUUUCUCCUCGUUACUCUCAUUAUGCCUGCCCAAUCCACCAGUACGUAUCACGUUCACCCAUCAAAGUGUUUCUCAAUGAAGCUUUUGUUUUGGCUGUCUAAUUAAGUUUGAGCUUAAGCUUGAGAAACCAUUGCUGCAGUUGAUGCUAAAGUUUGACUGGUUAUUUGUUUGCAGGUUAUCCAAUUCCUGAUCAACUGAUUGUACCCUGCAUUUAUAUUGGACCGUGCGUAAAUAGUCGUCUUUGUGAAGGGCAUUGCCAAAUCAAACGCCGUCUUCCUGGGGCAUGCGUUGAUUAUAAUCAUACACAAAUUUGCUGCUGUCUUCCAUCAUAAUUUGGAUGGGAGUUCAGGAGGCCUUUUCGUUAAUGCAUAUAUAGUCUUCAUGAGUUUCAUUUUGUGCCUCUAUGCCCGCCUUCAUGUUCUCUGCUCUCUAUAUAGAAGGAAAUAAAUGAAAUAAUUUAUAAACAAGAAAACAAUAGAAAAAGAAAUGCU
rnacentral:lncRNA from 1 species